GCUGUGACGUGGGUGGUUCGCCGCCUGCGAUGCUGCGAGAAGUCCAUUGAACCUUAUCAUUUAGAGGAAGGAGAAGUCGUAACAAGGUUUCCGUAGGUGAACCUGCGGAAGGAUCAUUGUCGAGACCCAAAAGAGAUCGAGAGAUUUGACAACUCGUGAAUUAUUCUUGCAGCACMAUUUUGUUGCUGCGCACCCAACCAUUUGUUGCAUGAACWACCCGAUGGGACCAUGUAACAGGCGGAGGGGAGAUCAAUUGGGCACAGCCUUGUGCCAAGGUAAAUAUGCAACAUGAGGAGCUUGAAUCGCAUAUCCUCAAAGCACGCAAUGUUUUGUGGAGUUGUUGAUUGCUCCUUGAGAAUUAUAGGACUCUCGGCAAUGGAUAUCUUGGCUCUCGCAUCGAUGAAGAGCGCAGGGAAAUGCGAUACGUGGUGCGAAUUGCAGAAUCCCGUGAACCAUCGAGUUUUUGAACGCAAGUUGCGCCUGAGGCCAGCCGGCCAAGGGCACGUCCGCCUGGGCGUCAAGCAUUAAAUCGCUCCAUUAGACACCACACCAUCCAUUCUAUGUGAUGGCCGUGUCUCGGAUGCGGAGGAUGGCUCGUCAUGCGUGUUGUGUGGCGGGUUAAAGAGCAGGGUAAUUUUUCUUUUAGCAAUGACCGAUUAAUGGGUGGGAAUGAAGACCCAGUUAUCCUCAUCAUCGGCUAGUUGCUUUGAGAAAUUUGUACAUAUCCUAAGAUAAUAACCCAACUCAAGUGUCGAAAGUAAAUUGAAAUGCGACCCCAGGAUGGGCGGGGUGACCCGCUGAGUUUAAG
rnacentral:sRNA from 1 species